AGCUCCCUCUCGCCCAACCCAGAGCCUUCGUUUAACAGGUGGAGCAACUGGUGGCGGGCGGUGACCUGCCCACGGGGGCAUCCGGACCUGGUGUCCCAGGACCUGAGGGGAUCUGAGAACAGGCAGCGGGUGGCUCAUGAGAGAGGUUGCAGGGCAGUCCACCAGCCUGUCCAGUGUCCAGCAGGGGCACAGGAGACACACAGCAACUGCACCCCACCUUCCUGUCUGCUGGCUGGAGACGCCCUUCCCCUCCUCAUGAAGACAAUGGCUGGACAUCCUGUGGAGCUGGACCCUAAACCGGUGAGGGUACAACUGAGCGAAGCCAAGUUGCUGAGACGAAUGGGAUAAGCAUGUCAUUGCAUUAAACGGACAUUUCCCCCUGUGGCCUUUAAUAAUUUAUGCCUUAAAGAAGACAGGUAGAGGUCCAGCGAACAAGUUAAAAAUGCCAGAUCUCACAGAUGAGAAGUAUGGUUCUUAUUAAAGUGUCUGCUUGCUACCUUGACAGUUUCUAAGAAGCAAAUAUUUCUACUGCUCCAGAUAUAAGGAAACAAAGUUACGUAGCCAGGGGAAAUCCACUUUGAAAAACAAAUGAAUCCAUGAGACUCCCCCAUGAUGACACAGCUCUCGGUGCAGAAUUGGAUGAUAAAGUGGAGUGCCUGCAGGAAAAAUGCAAUUCUUAUUAAAUAAGGGAACUGGAACCUUCUUGAUCUCAGUUUUAGCCUGUGGUCCACAUAUUUCACCCCCGUUUAUCAAUGAGGAGAUUUAUUGGACUAAGUACGAGGCAUUCCCUCACCAAGGACAGAACUUCACUGAGGAGGAGUUCUCUGAUAAGUCGGGCCCAGAUGAAAGCUCGGCAGGACUGCCACUGCUCUCUCCCUGAAGUCCUCUAAACGACAGUAAAGGGACAAAACAAUAACAACAAUAAGAGGCAUAAGCCCCCAAAAGUAAAGAGGCUAGGCCAAGAAACCACAGCAGAGAGAGAAGGCAACAAAAAUUUGGAAAUCAGAUCUCUGAGUGGUCACUGACCUAGCAAACCAGAGGAAGCUGAGGACUGGCAGGGAGGCAAGCUGAGAAGGCAGCCAUGUGAGCCCAGAGCUGGGCAGGCACCAGAGGCAUCAGGGGGCUGAAAACACAGGCGCGGCUUGGACCUGUUGAAAAACAAAAACUCAAUCCAUACAUUUAAAGAUCUUGUGGGCUUUAUUCAGCAAUUCAUGACUUGGACAGCAUUCCAUCUAGCAAGUAGAAAGGAGCUCUCAGGAGCUGUACAAAACAGAAGGUUUUUAUAAGCAGAAAGAGGGUAGGACAAAGGAGGUAAAGAGUGGAUUAUUUCAGGCAAGGUCACCCUCCCUUAGGGGAAGGCAGGGGGUCUUAUCAGCAGGUUCCCUCACUAGUGUUGAUCAGGAAAUUCCAGACUGAUUGGCUUAAAAUUCCACUCCUGGGAGAGGCUGAAACUGCAAUUAGGUUAGGCAUUAAGUCUUGGUGGGGCUUAGCAUAAGUGACUCCAUUUUGUACCUGUAGCUUCUUUUUAACAGACCUGAGAAAGAAAAAAUAGCGCUUGAGAGCUGAGAGCUAGCCUAGGCUGUGAGAUUCGCUUGUUGAACAAAGACAGUUUUAUACAACACCGACAUCAGACAAGGACGCUCUGUGACACAAGAGAUGAAGAUAACAAGACCAUUCCACGACCAUGGCUGAGCAUCAAGAAAAACAAGAACACUGCCCGGACCUGAGGAAUGGCCCAGACACUCCCUUUUCUGGUGCAUACAAGUGACUGAGGCUUCUUUACUGAUUACAGAGUUCACCCCACUUCAUUCCUCCCUACUCCUCAUGAGAUUUAUUGUCAUCAGAGGAUUACUCCUCAUUUCCAGACAGCACCUAAUCCAGAGAAAACCAUCACUUCCUUAACCCCUCCUCCAAAUCACCUAACUCAAGUCCAAAUCCUAUUCUAAGUUCUUCCUAACACUCUUCCAGGUGAUGUCAACCUCUUAGUCUCAAGUCCUGUGCCCUUGCGCAGUAAGCCAAUCACCAAGACGCUGGUGCUUGGAGAUGGAGAAAGUUUUAUUAGAAUUGGCCAAAAUGGGAAGGCAGGAGGAUAGGUUCUCUCAAAUAGGGCUUAAUAAGAGAAAAACGCAGGGGUUUUUUAUAGAGCUAAGUGGCUUGGCAGGAGUGAUGCGGGGUCAGUGAGCUGAGGAGUCGAAAGAAAGAUUUCUUGGACUCUCAAGGUCUGGCAGUAGUGCUCUUUUAUUUAGAGAAUA